UAAACGAUGAGUGAUAAGUGUUAGAGGGUUUCCGCCCUUUAGUGCUGAAGUUAACGCAUUAAGCACUCCGCCUGGGGAGUACGGCCGCAAGGCUGAAACUCAAAGGAAUUGACGGGGGCCCGCACAAGCGGUGGAGCAUGUGGUUUAAUUCGAAGCAACGCGAAGAACCUUACCAGGUCUUGACAUCCUCUGAAAACCCUAGAGAUAGGGCUUCUCCUUCGGGAGCAGAGUGACAGGUGGUGCAUGGUUGUCGUCAGCUCGUGUCGUGAGAUGUUGGGUUAAGUCCCGCAACGAGCGCAACCCUUGAUCUUAGUUGCCAUCAUUAAGUUGGGCACUCUAAGGUGACUGCCGGUGACAAACCGGAGGAAGGUGGGGAUGACGUCAAAUCAUCAUGCCCCUUAUGACCUGGGCUACACACGUGCUACAAUGGACGGUACAAAGAGCUGCAAGACCGCGAGGUGGAGCUAAUCUCAUAAAACCGUUCUCAGUUCGGAUUGUAGGCUGCAACUCUGCCUACAUGAAGCUGGAAUCGC
rnacentral:rRNA from 1 species